AUGGAUGUGUUUACUGCUGCCUUUCUCGGUGGUAACAGGCUGCAGAAUUUUGUGCAACGUUCGGCUGUAGGGACAAGGGGUGGAUUGUUGCUGCUAUGGGAUGACAGUGUUCUCGAGGUCUCCGGCAUUUCUUUCUCGGCUUAUUGCCUUUUGGCUUCGGUCCGAGUCCUCGAGAAUGAGGUGUGUUUCAAACUGACUAAUGUCUACGGGCCUACGGACUAUGCGUGCAAGGAGGUCUUCUUUGCUGAGCUAUGCUCCUGCAGGCCACUUCCGGGUUUGGGAUGGCUCGUGCUUGGGAACUUCAACCAAAUAUAUCGUGCUAGGGACAAGAACAAGCGAAACAUCAACCGGAGGAGGAUUAAGCGCUUUUGGGACACACUGCAGUCAUGUGAGCUCAAGGAGAUCCAUCUGCAGAAUAGGCGGUUCACGUGGAGCAACGAGAGGGAAAACCCAACCCUUUGCAAACUGGACUCCUUCUUCUGCAAUGAGACCUGGGACUUGUCCUUCAACACUCAUGUGCUUCAUGCCCUUUCGUCAUCCCUUUCCGAUCACUGCCCUCUGCUGCUCGCCGACGACGGGGGGCCUAGGCGGCCUCGGUCCUUCAAGUUUGAAAACCUCUGGGUGUCCUUGCCUGGUUUUGACGAGGUGGUCUCGAAGGCUUGGGAGCGGGUGAGACACACUGAGCCGUACCAGAUUCUGUAUCAAAAGCUCAAGAAAACUACACUGCGUCUCUUUGAGUGGAGUAAAAAGCUUUUCUCCAAGGCGAAGGUCCAGUUUCAUGCGGCUCAGCUAGUGAUUCUCCACCUUGACAUUGCGCAGGAGGGGAGACCCCUCUCCCUGAGUAGCGGGACCUCCGCUCGAGACUAA
rnacentral:rRNA from 1 species